AUUGAACGCUGGCGGCAGGCCUAACACAUGCAAGUCGAGCGGAGCGGCUGAAGGGUGAGUAAUGCCUAGGCAUAUGCCUGGUAGUGGGGGAUAACGUCCGGCAACGGACGCUAAUACCGCAACCUAUCAGCAGAGCAUAGGUCGGAUUAGCUAGUUGGGGGGGGAAAGGCAUACCAAGGCGACGAUCCGUAACUGGUCUGGGAGGAUGAUCAGUCACACUGGAACUGAGACACGGUCCAGACUCCUACGGGAGGCAGCAGUGGGGAAUAUUGGACAAUGGGCGCAAGCCUGAUCCAGCCAUGCCGCGUGUGUGAAGAAGGUCUUCGGAUUGUAAAGCACUUUAAGUUGGGAGGCGUUACUAACAGAAUAAGCACCGGCUAACUUCGUGCCAGCAGCCGCGGUAAUUC
rnacentral:rRNA from 1 species